GGAAGAAGAGGGAUGUCUUCUGGGAUGUGAGAGGUCUACUGCGAGACACACGCACAGAAAGAAGAAUAGGGAAAUUCACAUCGCGAGACUGAUCGGAGAGAGAAGGAGAAGAGGAAGACAAGAAGAAGAAGAAGAGGAAUCUGGGUAAUUGGAUUGCCCGACGUAGAGAGAAAGAGAAGUGCGCCGAUCAGGCCUUCCACAAGCGGAAGAAGUUUCUAGGUCUUUUACUUUUCCACUUCUACCAGAAGCCUGUACGAUUAUUUCUAUCUUCUUCGAUGAUGAUUGGUUUAAAUUCUGGGUGAUUGAAGUAAAUCAGACUUUGUAUACUAUUGAUAGAGAAGUAAAUUUUAGAUUUUGUUUCUUUUCAUGGAAUUUGAUGGUUUUUGGGUUUAAUUCUUUUUAA
rnacentral:lncRNA from 1 species